GCGAUUGUGGGCUUUUUAUAACAGCACCCACGCCCCUUAGGGCUUUUUUUGUGCUGGAACCAGAGGAGAGGAAGGUGAGUGAGGCUCCACCUUGUCCCAUUUGAUUUUGAUCUCCAUUUUGCUUGGUUUUUGAUGGAUUUCCUUCUCUUUUGCCCUUUGGUGCCAUUUCCACCAUGGAUGAAGCCUCAAGCUUGGAUUUGGAGCUAAGUGGAGGAUAGAUCUUGGGAUUUAAAGGAUUUAGAGCUUGAUUUGAAGCUUCUAAGAGGUAAGCAUUACACUAUCUUCCUCUAGAUUUGAGUUUUAUUGGAUUUCAUGAGAUGAAACCCUAGAUUGUGAUAUUAGGGUUUAUUUUGGGCAUUUUAAAUUUAGGGCUUUUGAAGCUAGAUUGAUUGGAUUAGAGGCUUCCAUUAGGUUGGAUUGGAUGAGCCCUAGCUUCAUUUUGGAGCUUUAGAGGAGAUUUUGCUCUAGAGGUGAGUUCUUCUCACCUAUACUUGAUUAGCUUAAUGAUUGAGCUAUUGAUGGUUCGUUUCGUUCAUGUGACGCAUGUUCUUGUACCUCUAGAAUACUAGGAGACUAGAGGACACCCUCGUUGGAGCGCACGAGGAGUUUCGUUGUCAUCGGUGGGUUUGGCUUCGGGGAAAUGGGGUGAAAUGACCCCUAUGCUCUUUCUACUUGUUGUAAAAUAUUUUUAAGUUCAUUUCUAUGCUAAAUGGGAUUUAUAUGAAUUUUAGAGCACUUAAAAUGCAUGCCUUGUGUAAUAUGAAAAAUUUCACUAUAUAGUAGAGCUAUAUGAGUAGAAUGCAUGCAUAUGGAAAAAGUGUUUAUUUUGCAAGUGGAAAAUACAUCUCUUAUGAGGAUUAUGACUUGGAAUAUGUGCCUUGGAACAUAGUUGCCAUGUUUUGACAUAGAGAACACGAGUGUCAUAAAGGGGCACACGAAACUAGUAAACUAUGAAACUGCAACAUAGAGAUAUAUUGAUAGGCCUUGUACAUCUGCUAUAUGUAUUCCAUGUUAGAGACAUGAUGACAUAGAGAUAGGCCUUUGAGACAUUCGAUAUAUUCCAUGUUAUUAGACAUGAGGACUUGGUACUUGCGACAGAUCGUUUGACUACUUGCCAUUGUGCUCAUUCGCACAUGCUUGUGAGGGUCGCUCCCUACAAGCUGGCACUCCGGAGAUGGCCAUCGCGAUACAUAUUCGCCGUGCGGGAUUGGGCGCCGAAGUGGAUUGCCGUGGGACAGGCUCAUUCCUAGGGUGGGGAUGAUGACUACUACGGGGCCAUUAGGCUCGGCACCGGCCAGACAGCCUACGGGUGGGUCUCAGGGCCAUAGACAGCCUUCGGGUGGGUCUCUUCAGAUUUGACUUGAGUAUUCAUUAUGACAUGUGGACAGAUGAUGACUUAGAGUAUUACUUGGACAUUGACUAGAAUAGUAAACAACGGAACUUUACUAUUUCGCAUUGUGAACAUUAUGAUAGUUGGAGACUUUUACUUCAUGUAUGGUUGUUUCAUACUUAUGCUAUUUAGGCUAAGUAGAGAUAUCAUGUUGUAGUAAGUUACAUUCUACUUAUCUUUCGCUUUUCUACAUUUAUAGUCACUAACCUCUUUUGUAGCUUUGGGCCUUGUGGUGCAUUCACUGAAGUCAGUAAUUGCCCACUGGGAACUAUUCUUAAUAGUUCUCACGCCCCUGUUUCUAUGUUUCCUUUUCAGAGCCUUCGGCACCGGCGGAGGCACGGGAUCGCGGCAAGGGGAUCGCGUAGCUAGCUAGCGAGGAGCUUGCUUGCCUAGGUGGUUUACUCUUUCUUUUGUAGUUGAGAGAGUGAGAGUUUUUGUACCCUGUAUAGAGACCACCUAUGUAUCUACUCGUAGCACCUGUAUUUGGGAAUUCCUAUUGUAUUUACUUUAUGUUCUACCUAGUGGAUUUACAGUUUUAUCUUUAUUCCUUGUUGUAGCAAUUAGACUUUUACUAUGCUCUGAUACUCCUAGAUGUCUUUUAUUAUUGCUUUUAUUAUUGUUGUUGUUAGACGCCUUAUAUGUUGUAGACAUAUGGCGGGUCUGGGCACGCGCCGGGCGGGCUUCCGCUGGGUCCCGGGGCGUGACAAUGAGCUUCUCCGGCCAUGGCGAGGAUCGGGGUGGCCGGAGGAGUGGUGCGGGGUCCCUCUGGGAUCGAAUGGAGGGGUAGACAACGGCGGCUAGCGGCAAGGGACGUGGCACGGAAGCUCU
rnacentral:lncRNA from 1 species